rnacentral:sRNA from 1 species
AGUAUGGAUAUUAGGCCCCGACUUCA